GAGUGGCGAACGGGUGAGUAACACGUGGGUAACCUGCCCAUCAGAAGGGGAUAACACUUGGAAACAGGUGCUAAUACCGUAUAACACUAUUUUCCGCAUGGAAGAAAGUUGAAAGGCGCUUUUGCGCCACUGAUGGAUGGACCCGCGGUGCAUUAGCUAGUUGGUGAGGUAACGGCUCACCAAGGCCACGAUGCAUAGCCGACCUGAGAGGGUGAUCGGCCACACUGGGACUGAGACACGGCCCAGACUCCUACGGGAGGCAGCAGUAGGGAAUCUUCGGCAAUGGACGAAAGUCUGACCGAGCAACGCCGCGUGAGUGAAGAAGGUUUUCGGAUCGUAAAACUCUGUUGUUAGAGAAGAACAAGGAUGAGAGUAAAAUGUUCAUCCCUUGACGGUAUCUAACCAGAAAGCCACGGCUAACUACGUGCCAGCAGCCGCGGUAAUACGUAGGUGGCAAGCGUUGUCCGGAUUUAUUGGGCGUAAAGCGAGCGCAGGCGGUUUCUUAAGUCUGAUGUGAAAGCCCCCGGCUCAACCGGGGAGGGUCAUUGGAAACUGGGAGACUUGAGUGCAGAAGAGGAGAGUGGAAUUCCAUGUGUAGCGGUGAAAUGCGUAGAUAUAUGGAGGAACACCAGUGGCGAAGGCGGCUCUCUGGUCUGUAACUGACGCUGAGGCUCGAAAGCGUGGGGAGCGAACAGGAUUAGAUACCCUGGUAGUCCACGCCGUAAACGAUGAGUGCUAAGUGUUGGAGGGUUUCCGCCCUUCAGU
rnacentral:rRNA from 1 species